GAUGAAGAACGUAGCGAAAUGCGAUAAGUAAUGUGAAUUGCAGAAUUCAGUGAAUCAUCGAAUCUUUGAACGCACAUUGCGCCCGCCAGUAUUCUGGCGGGCAUGCCUGUUCGAGCGUCAUUUCAACCAUCAAGCCCCAGGCUUGUGUUGGGGACCUGCGGCUGCCGCAGGCCCUGAAAACCAGUGGCGGGCUCGCUAGUCACACCGAGCGUAGUAGCAUACACAUCGCUCAGGGCGUGCUGCGGGUUCCGGCCGUUAAACCCCUUUUUUACCCAAGGUUGACCUCGGAUCAGGUAGGAAGACCCGCUGAACUUAAGCAUAUCAAUAAGCGGAGA
rnacentral:misc_RNA from 1 species